GGGAGAAAAGCAUGGCAUCUGUAUCUGGUACAAAUAGGCUGUUUGAAGCAGCUGGAUUGGGCUAACAGCACUGGUAGCCAGGAGAGGAAGAAAAGGAGAGAAAGCUUACAGAUUUUUGUGAGGAUACCCUACAAUGCUUCGAAGAAAAAAUGGUGAUAAACUAAAUUAUAAUACUCAUUGGGGCUGGGCUUCCAGGUCAGAAUUAUGAAUGAAGUAUCAGUGAUGCAAAGAACUGUGAGGCUGCAAAGUUACCAGCUGCUGUUCAGGUCCCUCAAAGAUGUCCAUGUUCCACGGAGGAUGCCACAGCAAGCCUUGCAAUUAUAGGAGUGCAUCCAACACGUGCGGUGGAAAAAGAGGCUCUUCUCAGUGCUCUUUCUGGAUGAGUAGGAGUGAUGCUGAUUCCCACAACAGGAUGAAAAUGGUAACGACGCAGUGCUUAAAAAAAAGGAGAAUGAGAGAUGAAGACAAAGAACAAACAUUAUAAGGGACACAGAUUAAUAAAAGAAGCUUGGCCACACUACCUCCCCAUAAGCGACUGCCGUUUGUGUUAUCACAGUGCUGAAGGAGAGCUGGGAGUGAGCUGUCAGCAGAUGGUAAGCAGCAACUCUGGCAGGUCUGCAAAUGAGGGAAUUUCCCUGCCUGAGCCAGUGGGAUCAAGUACUCAUCUUUGCUGGAUUGCUCUUUACAAGUCAAGAGAGCCCAUCAGGUCAAAACAUGUGCUUCACCGUGGCUGGCCUAAAGAGAAAAGCUUUUUUCUCCUGUGAAACACAGACUUUUCUCUGUUCCACUUAAUAGGUACUCUCCAGGAGAUGCAAAGAAAUACAUCUAAAAAAAACAAACCCAGGGCUCAUCUACUUUUCUAGUUUUCAGUCACCCUACCAAAGUGGUGCUUCUGUUCUGCAAACAAACUGGGUGCGAGCGCACUAACGCAUGCACAGACCUCAUUGUAAUCACUUCUUCCUACCAGCUUCUCUGUCUGCUCCCUUUGCUACACACAGUGGAGAGACAGAAGAGAGUGGUUCGUGUAUAAAACUCCACAGGGAUUCUCUGGCUCUUUCUUUUCUCGUUUUGUGGCUUUGCAGCAUACAGGGUAGCUAUGAUGAAGCAAUCACAUAUGCAAAUAUAUAAAGGUGGGUUUUUUUUUUUCUGAAUGAUAAAAUUAUUUUGAAAAUGUGAAAGCCUACAGAAACAGCAUAGGUUGCUUAAAACUGGAGAUUAUAAUGAAUUUUGUUCUUCCUGGGCAGAACCAGCAGGAAAAGGCUUUCUUGUGACUUACAGAUGUGGUCCCGGCCAGAAGCAUAUAGCAUAAAAUAGAGAAUGGUCAUUUAGUAUUUUAAGUUCCUUUGAAGAGGCUCUUCUAAUGUUUGAAGCAUAAAUUUGAACAUGUUUAUCUUUUGCCUGAUCAUACGACACUCUCGUCCUCAGUGUUAACAAUCCACUUCAACCCACGUGGAUCCUCACCGAUCUGUUGGUUUUGUCUCCAUGUUAGGAAAGGUUAUGGUGAUGAUGGUCAUUGCACCUACUAUUUUUACUGUGUGGGUGAUGUCCUGGCUUCCUGUUAGCCAAAAUAGUCUGGUAUUUUUAGCGUAUCUUCAGGGAGGCUGGCAUCCUGCAAUAGCACUCUCAUGCUGUAAGAUUGCAGAGGUGGUAGUGACAGUGCCGAAGUUCAGAGGCAUGCUUUGAAAAGCUCAUUGGGACGUUAGCGAGUGUUUCCUAAAAAGACAAACACCACUAACUGAAAAAACUAAGUGCAGGAUAUAGAAAAGAGCAUGAGCUUCUGACAUAUUUCUGUUUGCAUAAAGCGCAGAAGGCAGAGCCAUGAAUACUCCAGCUGCCCCAUUCAGCUGUGAACUGAAAUAUUUCCAUCACACUACUUAUUUGAAUCAUUUUUUUGAAUCCUUUCCUGUUUGAUUUUAAAUUUAGCUUAACAGGGCAAGCAGACUGUUGGCGGUGCAGGAGCAUCACAGGGUGGGCUGGCAGACCUUGUGUUCCUGGGAGCAUCCAGCCGUUGGUGGCUGCCAGCCAGAGCCUGUGCUGGGUAUGGCAUCUUAACAGCGGUGCCUCUUAAUGCACUUCUGGAUUAAGGAGAUUUUUGGCAAGGGUGUGCUUGAGGAGGGAGUCACUGGUCUGAGCCAAACGCUUGGCUGCUCUAGAAGUCUAAAGUUUGCUUUUAAAUAGUGCACCCCCAACUGCAAAUGGGGACAGAGACCAGGGAGUCAAUGGUGGAGCCAUUUUGGUAGUGAACGUCUUUGAUUUUGUCUGGCCUCUAGUCUAGCAGGCUACUCAGGUCUAGAAUAUAAAUGGAUUAGCGUCCUGGUUUGUCCUUGCAAGAAGAUAAACAGCUGUAUUCCAAACCUGGGAGCCACUGGGGUGCCUUACUUGGCUGAUCCAGAACAGGUGUGGGGUAACAAAGAUGCGGAUGGCCGGAGCGGUGUCUGCAUGCGCAGAUCGGCUGCUCUGCAGGAUGGAGAUAAUGCACGCUGCCAUUAGCGGCAGGUGGGGCUGAUAAGGUUUCAUGGAACUGCUGCCUCAGUCCAUUUGGACAUUAGGAAGGCAGACGUCUUCAAUAACUGGAGCGCUCAGAGAUUGUAUUGAUUAGCAAAAUCUUGGUCUGGUGAUGGACAAAAAAAAAAACCCCAAAAACCUGUUAAAAACAUCUUUCAUGUAC
ensembl:lncRNA